AAGGCAUGGGAACAUGUGGAGUUAGCCACACCCCUAGAUAUGCUGGAGAGUCAGCCCUUAUCUGCACUUCUGCCUGGUGCGUCCUGGGCUAGGCUCCACACCUAGUACCCAAUUCAAAUUGCUUACUAACCAGGGCUUCCACCAAAAGUAAAAGUCACUAAAAGUUAACGUUGUAACAUGUAAUUGAGACUAUUGAAGAAACACUUUUACAUGUAAGGCUAACCCUGCUUAUUCCUAUGAACCAACCAGUAAUCUCUGACUGUUGCUCAGAAAAAAACAAGAGGACAGAUGGAGUCUCCUUCUGUCACCCAAGCUGGAGUGCAGUGGCGUGAUCUCGGCCCACUGCAACCUCUGCCUCCCGGGUUCAAGUGAUUCUCCUGCCUCAGCCUCCUGAGUAGCUGGAACUACAGGCACACACCACCACACCUGGCUAGUUUUUGUAUUAUUAGUAGAGAUGGGGUUUCACCAUAUUGACCAGGCUGGUCUCAAACUCCUGACCUCAUGAUCCACCCACCUUGGCCUCCCAAAAUGUUGGGAUUACAGUUGUGAGCCACCACACCCGGCCCUAAAUGUUUUCUUAAAUUAAACACUUAUAAAUCUUCCAGAUAUCACCUUUUGUCAAAAUUCAAUAAUUAUGAACGGACCUUACUAUACUGAUGCUUUCUUACUAAGCUCCUCUCUACCCUGAAUGCAAGAGACCCUCAUAGUUAGGCAAGAAUAUCAUCACCCCAUUCAAUCUGA